rnacentral:rRNA from 1 species
AACGAACGCUGGCGGCAUGCCUAACACAUGCAAGUCGAACGAAACCUUCGGGUCUAGUGGCGCACGGGUGCGUAACGCGGGGGAACCUGCCCUUAGGUUCGGAAUAACUCACCGAAAGGGGUGCUAAUACCGGUUAAUGUCUUCGGACCAAAGAUUUAUCGCCUUUGGAUGGGCCCGCGUUGGAUUAGCUAGUUGGUAGGGUAAAAGCCUACCAAGGCGACGAUCCAUAGCUGGUCUGAGAGGAUGAUCAGCCACACUGGGACUGAGACACGGCCCAGACUGCUGCGGGAGGCAGCAGUGGGGAAUAUUGGACAAUGGGCGAAAGCCUGAUCCAGCAAUGCCGCGUGAGUGAUGAAGGCCUUAGGGUUGUAAAGCUCUUUUACCCGGGAUGAUAAUGACAGUACCGGGAGAAUAAGCACCGGCUAACUCCGUG